rnacentral:tRNA from 1 species
GGAGCUUUGGCAGAGCGGCUUAUUGCACACGCCUGGAAAGCGUGAGUGCCAUACGGCACCACAGGUUCAAAUCCUGUAGGCUCCG